GUCGCGCGAAUGACAACAAAACGAUAAGGCGCGAACAAAAAUGCGCGUCAAAGUGUAAAGUUGAAGCGCCGAAUUUUAAUAACUGUAGAUAAUAAUCGUGCUUCACACUUUCAUGUACUUGUCCCGAUCGCAUCCCGGGAGAUAAUAUGUCGCAUGGAGCAUUUUUCACUCUCGUGACGCGAAAGAGAAUAAUCGCUUUUUAUACCUCUUCCUAUUUGUCGCAAUCGCCUUUCGGGAGAUAAUAUAUGGAGAGUCUCACGUCGCUGCUUGCCCGCUCGAGUCUCGCCAAGCGAAUGACAACAAAACCACGGGCGGAGGGAUGUUGGCGGCAGAUGCAAGUCUGGACCACGCUUCGAUGGGCAUCUUGCUAUGUUCACAGUGGACGCGUGCUGUUUUGGAUUAAUUUUUUUCGUCAUCUUUUUUCUUGCUAUGCGCUAAAGAUGUUGUGGGCACAUGCUGAAGACCCGAAAGAUAGUAAAUAAUAAAUAAUUUUUAUUUUUAUAUUAUUGAAAUUUUA